rnacentral:rRNA from 1 species
AUGAACGCUAGCGGCAGGCUUAAUACAUGCAAGUUGAGGGGCAGCAUGAUAUACGCGAGUAUAUUGAUGGCGACCGGCGGACGGGUGAGUAAUAGGUAGGAGACCUACCUCAUACAGGGGGAUAGCAUAGAGAAAUCUGUGGUAAUACCCCAUGAGGUUAUAUGAAUAGAGGCAUAUAAUCAAAGCAUAAGCGAUUAUGCGGUAUGAGAGGGGCCUACUGACCAUUAGCUAGUUGGUGAGGUAAGGGCUCACCAAGGCGAAGAUGGUUAGGGGUUUUGAGAGAGAGACCCCCCACAUUGGAACUGAGAGACGGUCCAGACUCCUACGGGAGGCAGCAGUAGGGAAUAUUGGGCAAUGGGCGAAAGCCUGACCCAGCCAUGCCGCGUGAAGGAAGACGGCCUUAUGGGUUGUAAACUUCUUUACUGCGCGAAUAGAGGUUAGUACGAGAUACUAAUAGGAAGGUAGUGUAGUAAAAAGCACCGGCUAACUCCGUG